AGUCAUUUUUUCAACUACGGUGAUAUUGAUAACAUGUAUCGUUUUUCUUUAAGGAACCUAUAAUCAUUACAUGUUAAGAUAUAAGAUAUCUCCAACAGACCACGGGACUUCGGUUUUUGAAUUAUCACCCCAAAAAGACCCGGAACUAUCACAUCUAAACGCCACAAGCUUGUCGAAGAAAGGUUACUACUUAUCUUUACGUCUUAGGAUUGAGCCACGACCUCUCGGUUACGAAACGAUCGCUCUAACCACAGUGUACGGCUCAUCAAUGAUAUAAAGUCUUUGUAGACAAACCCCAGCUGUUUCAUUGAACUGCACGUCUAAUGCUGUGAUUUGAAUUGGUGAUCCAUUGGUUGUUUGCACUGCACAUGUAGCACCGGAAGUAGCUGAACAUUCAGACAUUGUUGAUGGAUAACUUUCGCUAGAGAGGAAGACUGUAUUUGCUGUCAGUAAUGAUGCCGAAUUGAUAGUUAUUGUUGAGGCAUCUGCACAAUAAUUAUGAUAUGAAUUACAUAUACUACAUAAACGAAUAAACCAGCCAUAUUUCAAAUCAA